rnacentral:rRNA from 1 species
UUUGGAGCUAGCCGUCGAAGGUGGGACAAAUGAUUGGGGUGAAGUCGUAACAAGGUAGCCGUAUCGGAAGGUGCGGCUGGAUCACCUCCUUU